UGUUAUUUUAGAAUCAUCUGACUAGAGUCUUGGUCCUUUGAGUUUGGUUAACUAAAGCAUCUGUUAUAUCGGAUAUCAAAUUAUCUACACUUGUACUUAAGAUGUAAUGUAGCAUACUAUAUUUUCUUUUGUUUGCUUGGUGAGGAUUCAUCCAGACCUGAUCACAUGAUUAUUUGGUGAUCGGUUGACAUGGUAUAUUUGUUUAUACCUGCCAGGGGGGUGCAAAACUGGAUGGUGGCUCUGUUGUUCUCGGUGAUGAUCUUGCUGCUACCUCUAGUAAAUCAACUGAUGACCUGGCGGCAGAAGGAGACGGCUCCAAUGUGGCUAAAAGGCUCAAGCUGUAGUUCAGGCGGCAUUGGAGAGCCUAUUCUUUUGGAUCACACUGUUGGUUAUGUGCGUGCUCGAAGUGAUCACCUAGCGAAUGGACAUCGCGACGCGGGUUAGACGGUGAAGCUUCGCUCUAGGUCUAUUGUCCCAUUUGUCGUGUCAUGCUGUUUAUGAAUCGAUGUUCUGUUCCGCCGACCCCGGGAAACUUUAGUUAGUGUGGUGUUCGCGAAAGACUAAUGGCUGUUAGUACUCGGAUCUGAAUUGGUCUUUGCUUUUGUGUGGGGUCUGUUUAGCUGUUGGUUGCUGGUGAAUGCAAGGACAUAAUUGACUGGCUUAUUUAGUAUGCUCGUAAUGGAUUCUAUUUCAUGUC